AGUGAACGCUGGCGGUAGGCCUAACACAUGCAAGUCGAACGGCAGCACAGUAAGAGCUUGCUCUUACGGGUGGCGAGUGGCGGACGGGUGAGGAAUACAUCGGAAUCUACUUUUUCGUGGGGGAUAACGUAGGGAAACUUACGCUAAUACCGCAUACGACCUACGGGUGAAAGCAGGGGAUCUUCGGACCUUGCGCGAUUGAAUGAGACGAUGUCGGAUUAGCUAGUUGGCGGGGUAAAGGCCCACCAAGGCGACGAUCCGUAGCUGGUCUGAGAGGAUGAUCAGCCACACUGGAACUGAGACACGGUCCAGACUCCUACGGGAGGCAGCAGUGGGGAAUAUUGGACAAUGGGCGCAAGCCUGAUCCAGCCAUACCGCGUGGGUGAAGAAGGCCUUCGGGUUGUAAAGCCCUUUUGUUGGGGAAGAAAAGCAGCAGGUUAAUACCCCGCUGUUCUGACGGUACCCAAAGAAUAAGCACCGGCUAACUUCGUG
rnacentral:rRNA from 1 species